rnacentral:rRNA from 1 species
AGUGAACGCUGGCGGUAGGCCUAACACAUGCAAGUCGAACGGCAGCACAGUAAGAGCUUGCUCUUACGGGUGGCGAGUGGCGGACGGGUGAGGAAUACAUCGGAAUCUACUUUUUCGUGGGGGAUAACGUAGGGAAACUUACGCUAAUACCGCAUACGACCUACGGGUGAAAGCAGGGGAUCUUCGGACCUUGCGCGAUUGAAUGAGCCGAUGUCGGAUUAGCUAGUUGGCGGGGUAAAGGCCCACCAAGGCGACGAUCCGUAGCUGGUCUGAGAGGAUGAUCAGACACACUGAAACUGAGACAGGGUCCAGACUCAAAGGGGGGGCAGAAGGGGGAAAUAUUGGAAAAGGGGCGAAAGCCUGAUCCAGCCAUACCGCGGGGGUGAAGAAGGCUUUCGGGUUGUAAAGCCCUUUUGUUGGAAAAAAAAAGCGGAAGGUUAAUACCCCGCUGUUCUGAGGGUACAAAAAGAAUAAGAACCGGCUAACUUCG